rnacentral:lncRNA from 1 species
AGAUGGAUGUCUAUUUUACUUCUUACAUCAAAAUGAAUUCCACAAGGAAAAUAGUCAAAGAUUAAGAAUAAAUAAAUUCACAUGAAUACUGGGGAAAAAAAAAAACAUACAAGAAUCCAUAAGAUAUCUUUCCUUCUUCUUCUUCUUCUUCUUCUUCUUCUUCUUCUUCUUCUUCUUCUUCUUCUUCUUCUUCUUCUUCUUCUUCUUCUUCUUCUUCUUCUUCUUUUUCGCUCCUCUAUCAUCCUUCUUCAGUCUGCCUAUCUAUAAUCCAUUCCUCUCACAAUGGGGAUUUAGCACCUCAACAAAACUGAUAGAUAUUCAUAAUGGAAAACACAUGUCACUAUGUCCUGUCAACUUUUUUGUUCCUUCUCUAGAAUCUUUGGAGUGGGAAGCCACGGAGAAGGAGCAGCGAAAAAGGAUCACUUGAACGCCAGCUGCCAGAGCAAAGAGGAAGCUGGAAAGAGGCUCCAGGAGGAUCACAGCUCCCGCAACUGGGGCAGCCGGUGUCCCUGCACGCCCGGUGCCGCCAGGGUCCCCGCGAGCCAAGCAGGGGAUCCAAGCAGGGGAUCCAAGCAGGGGAUCCAAGCAGCGCCCGCUCCAGGCCCAGGCCCCACUGGGGCAGACUCAGGUCCUCCAGGGCAGCCUCAGGAGGGAACCCCAGUGGACGACCCUCAGGCAGCGGUGGAGGUGAAACCACAACCGAAAACCAACUGGAAACCAGGGGCAGUGCGGCUAAGCGAGAGGCCACCAGCUGUACAAGCUGCAGAUUAAAUCCACACGAUCAGCGAGGCCGACUGCGCCUGUCGAAUAUAUAAAAGGACAAUGAGAGGUCCCGCAAAAGAAAACUCAGUAGCUCUGGCAGCCAAGGAGGCCGGAGGCCAGAACACGCAGCAGCAGGACUCGACGAGAGUCGGGGCUGCCCCACAGCAGGUCCAGAGGCCAGUGCAGAGUUGGAGGGCGUCCUAGGAGGUGAAGGGGACUCCGACUCACAGUGAGGGGAAGGACGCGGACAGCUGAGAUCUGAGAAAAAUUCUUCUUCUUCUUCUUCUUCUUCUUCUUAAACAUUGAUUUUCUUGAUUUGGACUGACAUUUUUCCCAAGGAAUGGGAGUAUAUGAAGGGUUAAUAGGGUAGCAGAGAUGUGCCUGCAAACGGGUCUCUCUGCUCAGGCUUAGCAUCCUUGCAUAUGAGGCGUUCUGCCAAAGAGUCUGGACACAGCCUUGAGUUUAAUGGUCCCUUGCAAACAAGGGAGCAUUCCCUUCUUGAGAUAAG